rnacentral:RNase_P_RNA from 1 species
CAGAAAGGAUAUGAUCGUUUGACCGGGAUUUUAUGAUAUUUUUCGGUCAAAAGGAAAGUCCGGGCUCCGCCGGAAAAGAUGCCGGGUAAUAACCGGGCGGCCGACGAUUUUUCGCCGGCUGACAGAAAGUACCACAGAAAACAUACCGCGUAUGAGUUUUCGUACGUAAGGGUGAAAAGGCGAGGUAAGAGCUCACCGUGUUUCCGGUAACGGAAACGACAGGGAAACCUCAUUUGGAGCAAGGCCGAAUAGGCAGUUAUGUUUUCCGGACAGUUACGCUGCGGGUAGGCUGCUAAAAACACGGAGCGAUCCGUGUUUCAGAUAGAUGAUCAUGCCGGCCGGAAUUACGGCCGGAACAGAACCCGGCUUAUAUCCUUUCUGUUUU